UUAAAUUGAAGGGUUUGAUCAUGGCUCAGAUUGAACGCUGGCGGCAGGCCUAACACAUGCAAGUCGAACGGUAACAGGAAACAGCUUGCUGUUU
rnacentral:rRNA from 1 species